UGGGGAAUAUUGCGCAAUGGGGGCAACCCUGACGCAGCCAUGCCGCGUGAAUGAAGAAGGCCUUCGGGUUGUAAAGUUCUUUCGGUAUUGAGGAAGGUUGAUGUGUUAAUAGUACAUCAAAUUGACGUUAAAUACAGAAGAAGCACCGGCUAACUCCGUGCCAGCAGCCGCGGUAAUACGGAGGGUGCGAGCGUUAAUCGGAAUAACUGGGCGUAAAGGGCACGCAGGCGGUUAUUUAAGUGAGGUGUGAAAGCCCCGGGCUUAACCUGGGAAUAGCAUUUCAGACUGGGUAACUAGAGUACUUUAGGGAGGGGUAGAAUUCCACGUGUAGCGGUGAAAUGCGUAGAGAUGUGGAGGAAUACCGAAGGCGAAGGCAGCCCCUUGGGAAUGUACUGACGCUCAUGUGCGAAAGCGUGGGGAGCAAACAGGAUUAGAUACCCUGGUAGUCCACGCUGUAAACGCUGUCGAUUUGGGGGUUGGGGUUUAACUCUGGCGCCCGUAGCUAACGUGAUAAAUCGACCGCCUGGGGAGUACGGCCGCAAGGUUA
rnacentral:rRNA from 1 species